rnacentral:rRNA from 1 species
GUGUCAGCCGCCGCGGUAAUACGUAGGGUGCAGGCGUUAAUCGGAAUUACUGGGCGUAAAGCGUGCGCAGGCGGUCUUUUAAGUCAGAUGUGAAAUCCCCGGGCUUAACCUGGGAACUGCGUUUGAAACUGGAAGGCUUGAGUGUGGCAGAGGGGGGUGGAAUUCCACGUGUAGCAGUGAAAUGCGUAGAGAUGUGGAGGAACACCGAUGGCGAAGGCAGCCCCCUGGGCUAACACUGACGCUCAUGCACGAAAGCGUGGGGAGCAAACAGGAUUAGAAACCCUGGUAGUCC